UUGCUUCUCUGAUGUUAGCGGCGGACGGGUGAGUAACACGUGGAUAACCUACCUAUAAGACUGGGAUAACUUCGGGAAACCGGAGCUAAUACCGGAUAAUAUUUUGAACCGCAUGGUUCAAAAGUGAAAGACGGUCUUGCUGUCACUUAUAGAUGGAUCCGCGCUGCAUUAGCUAGUUGGUAAGGUAACGGCUUACCAAGGCAACGAUGCAUAGCCGACCUGAGAGGGUGAUCGGCCACACUGGAACUGAGACACGGUCCAGACUCCUACGGGAGGCAGCAGUAGGGAAUCUUCCGCAAUGGGCGAAAGCCUGACGGAGCAACGCCGCGUGAGUGAUGAAGGUCUUCGGAUCGUAAAACUCUGUUAUUAGGGAAGAACAUAUGUGUAAGUAACUGUGCACAUCUUGACGGUACCUAAUCAGAAAGCCACGGCUAACUACGUGCCAGCAGCCGCGGUAAUACGUAGGUGGCAAGCGUUAUCCGGAAUUAUUGGGCGUAAAGCGCGCGUAGGCGGUUUUUUAAGUCUGAUGUGAAAGCCCACGGCUCAACCGUGGAGGGUCAUUGGAAACUGGAAAACUUGAGUGCAGAAGAGGAAAGUGGAAUUCCAUGUGUAGCGGUGAAAUGCGCAGAGAUAUGGAGGAACACCAGUGGCGAAGGCGACUUUCUGGUCUGUAACUGACGCUGAUGUGCGAAAGCGUGGGGAUCAAACAGGAUUAGAUACCCUGGUAGUCCACGCCGUAAACGAUGAGUGCUAAGUGUUAGGGGGUUUCCGCCCCUUAGUGCUGCAGCUAACGCAUUA
rnacentral:rRNA from 1 species